rnacentral:rRNA from 1 species
CCUACGGGGGGCUGCAGUGGGGAAUAUUGGACAAUGGGGGGAACCCUGAUCCAGCGACGCCGCGUGAGUGAAGAAGUAUUUCGGUAUGUAAAGCUCUAUCAGCAGGGAAGAAAAUGACGGUACCUGACUAAGAAGCCCCGGCUAAAUACGUGCCAGCACCCGCGGUAAUACGUAGGGGGCAAGCGUUAUCCGGAUUUACUGGGUGUUAAGGGAGCGUAGACGGUGCAGCAAGUCUGAUGUGAAAGGUCGGGGCCCAAACCCGGGACUGCAUUGGAAACCGUUGAACUGGAGUACAGGAGAGGUAAGCGGAAUUCGUAGUGUAGCGGUGAAAUGCGUAGAUAUUAGGCAGAACACCAGUGGCGAAGGCAGCUUACUGGACUGUAACUGACGUUGAGGCUCGAAAGCGUGGGGAGCGAACAGGAUUAGAUACCCGGGUAGUC